ensembl:misc_RNA 7SK 7SK RNA
GGAUGUGAGGGUGAUCUGGCUGCGACAUCUGUCACCCCAUUGACUGCCAAGGUUGAUUUGGCUGAUCUGGCUGGCGUCCCCUUCCUCCCUCACCACUCCAUGUCCAUCCCUCCUGAAGAUGUGUGCUGGGUCGAAUAAAGACGGACCAGUCUUCGGUCAGUUGAGAGUAUGGGAAUAGCUGCACUCCCUGUUAGAACCUCCAAACAAGAUCUCAAAAAGCUCAGAUAGUUAAAAAGUCCUAAUUAUAUCACAGUCCUCUUAUCUCCACAAACUACUAGAGAAAUA